rnacentral:tRNA from 1 species
GGGUCCGUAAGCAAUGGUAGCGCGGGGUGAUCCAAAGCACCCCGAAUGCAGGUUCGAAUCCUGUCGGGUCCA